rnacentral:rRNA from 1 species
CGGGUGAGUAACGCGUGGAAAACCUGCCGUAUACUGGGGGAUAACACUUAGAAAUAGGUGCUAAUACCGCAUAAGCGCACAGCUUCGCAUGAAGUGGUGUGAAAAACUCUGGUGGUAUACGAUGGUUCCGCGUCUGAUUAGCUUGUUGGUGGGGUAAUGGCUCACCAAGGCGACGAUCAGUAGCCGGCCUGAGAGGGUGAACGGCCACAUUGGGACUGAGACACGGCCCAAACUCCUACGGAAGGCAGCAG